rnacentral:snRNA from 1 species
GCCCUUCGGGGCAUAUGGUCAGCUGAGAAUAUACAGAGAAGAUUGGCAUGGCCCCUGCACUAAAAAUGACACGCCUAAUCAAAGAGAAUUUACCUGUUUUU